CAACCGCGAUGCUCCAGCUUCUGUCCAGAGGCCCAAUCCGAGGCCCGGCUUCUGGCACCGACCUCCCAGGAGUGCUGUACUGCACGCUGCAGCCAGUCUGCGAGGCUAAGCUGUUCCCUGGACACCUGCUGUAUGUCAAGUCCUGGGGAUUCAGAGAGGAAAGAGCACACCCUUUUCUCGGUGAUGAAGCAGACACUUCAAUUGGCAAUUGAUCAAAGACAGGAGUCUUGGAAACCCCAGAUAAGGGGGGAAGUGAAGACUAAACUUUAGCUAUG